rnacentral:rRNA from 1 species
CAAGUCGAACGCUCUCUUCGGAGGGAGUGGCGGACGGGUGAGUAACGCGUGGGAAUAUGCCCUUUGGUACGGAACAACAGUUGGAAACGACUGCUAAUACCGUAUGUGCCCUACGGGGGAAAGAUUUAUCGCCAAAGGAUUAGCCCGCGUUGGAUUAGGUAGUUGGUGGGGUAAUGGCCCACCAAGCCGACGAUCCAUAGCUGGUUUGAGAGGAUGACCAGCCACACUGGGACUGAGACACGGCCCAGACUCCUGCGGGAGGCAGCAGUGGGGAAUCAUAGACAAUGGGCGCAAGCCUGAUCUUGCCAUGCCGCGUGAGCGAUGAAGGCCUUAGGGUUGUAAAGCUCUUUCACCGGUGAAGAUAAUGACGGUAGCCGGAGAAGAAGCCCCGGCUAACUCCGUGCCAGCAGCCGCGGUAAUACGGAGGGGGCUAGCGUUGUUCGGAAUUACUGGGCGUAAAGCGCGCGUAGGCGGGCUGUUAAGUCGGGGGUGAAAUCCCGGGGCUCAACCCCGGAACUGCCCUCGAUACUGGCAGCCUAGAGGUCGAGAGAGGUGAGUGGAAUUCCGAGUGUAGAGGUGAAAUUCGUAGAUAUUCGGAGGAACACCAGUGGCGAAGGCGGCUCACUGGCUCGAUACUGACGCUGAGGUGCGAAAGCGU